rnacentral:rRNA from 1 species
UACGGAGGGGGCUAGCGUUGUUCGGAAUUACUGGGCGUAAAGCGCACGUAGGCGGCUUUGUAAGUUAGAGGUGAAAGCCCGGAGCUCAACUCCGGAAUUGCCUUUAAGACUGCAUCGCUAGAAUUGUGGAGAGGUAAGUGGAGUUCCGAGUGUAGAGGUGAAAUUCGUAGAUAUUCGGAAGAACACCAGUGGCGAAGGCGGCUCUCUGGGACGGUACUGACGCUGAGACGCGAAAGCGUGGGGAGCGAACAGG